rnacentral:lncRNA from 1 species
GUGCUAAGAAAACUGCCCCACAUCAUCUGCAGUAGGACGGGGGAGUUGGAGCCCUGGUCAGGCCACUCUGCUACUGACCACAGUUUUCUCAUCUCUAAAAAGGCGCAGUAACAAUAUAAUUACCGUAUGCAGUCCCCCAGGAUACAGGGUCAAAGGAGAGCACAACCAUCGCAGUUGGAAGCCCAUGGGGCAGACCCAGACUUCACCCUCAGGUCACCCUCACCUGGACUUUGGGGUGCCCCACACCCCGCCCCAGGCCCUGGCCUCUGGAAUAUUUGGAAACUUGAACUGGGCCAGAGGCUUAAGCUCACAUCUGUCUGGAGCCUCAACUUUCUCCUCUGUAAAAUGGGCUAACACUGAAAGAACCUUGCAGAAUCUCAGCAACGUCACAGAGGACAUUGUUAGCACAGCCAGCGGGCUCCUGCUGGGCUGAGUUUGUGGGUAAUCCAAGCCUCGGCAGGUACAGUUCCUCCCUCAGGGCCCAGGACACAGUGAGCAUACAAUAGACAUUAGCUGCUGUGGUGUCUUGAUUUCAAGCCCAGUGCAGAUGCAUCUGACUUACGAAACUUCAGUGACACCUGCUCUGUGCCAGACACUGAAGAUGGAGCAGUGAACAGCACUGACCCAGCCUGUCCUCCUGUUGCCUGCAGGCCAGAAGCAAGGUCUCGCUGUGUUACCCUGGCUGGAGUGCAGUGGCUACUUACAGGCAUGAUCAUAGCAUACUGCAGCCUCGAACUCCUGGACUAGAGCAGUUCUCCUGCCUCAGCCUCCAGAGCAGCUGGGACUGCAGACACGCACCACAGAGCCCAGCCUGAGUCAUUUUGAUUCUGUAACUGGCUUCCUCUCGGCGGGCAGGCUCACACCCUCCACCCCCAGCUGGAGAUGGAAGGAGGAUGCUCACCGCCCAUUCCUCAUGCAGGCCAUCGAUGGAAAUGUCAGACAGUGCGAGUCCACGCCUGAACACUUCUGGGGUCCGCUCUGGGACUGACACUGGCAGAUCCAUCGUGGCACCCGAGCUCUGUGAGGGCAAGACUUUGUUCGGUUGUGGGCUAUGCCCCCAACCCCUCGGACAGUGCCUGCACAGGUGGACAUUUUUGUUGGAUGAAGGAUUUUCUGUUAAAUGUGUCUGGCACACACAGAAAAACAAAGCCCAGCAGAUGCCGUUCCAUUGUUUGCUGACUUUCAUUGAUUCUAUGAGAAGUCUGCAGUCUUUUGCAGCGUUGUUUUCCUAUGUAUAAUUGUCUCCUCCCACCCCACUCACCCCAGCUGCUUUCCACAUUCUCUCUCUUUGAUUUUCAGCAGUCUGCCCAUGAUGUGCCUAAAUAGGACUUUCUUUGCAUUCAUCUUGGCUGGGGCUCACUGAACUUUCUGAAUCUGUAGAUUAAUUUUCUUUUUUCAAUAAACCUUGGAAUAUUUUCAGCA